rnacentral:tRNA from 1 species
GCCCUUGAAGCUCAACUGGAAGAGCGUCCGGCUUCUACCCGGAGGGUUGCAGGUUCGAGUCCUGCCAGGGGCG